UUUUCCAUUAAAAUUAUUUUAAUAAUCGCAUUCUUCUAAUACCGUAAUAAAAUUAACUUUAAAUUCCUAACACCAGACUUAUAAAAGAUCAAAGAAUUACAAAAGUUGCUGUGUAUGUGCCUGCUGUUCGUGCAGUGAACAUUGUGUGCAUACACCUAACACUAUCAAAUAACUAAAAAAAUAAUUUCAAAUAUGUGACGCGGAACCUGAAAUGUUAAUGUGAUGAAUAAGUUAAAGACAUUUCCAAGAUCUUUAAUAGAAUAUGUCUUGAACAUCUCUAAGUGAGUAGGUGAGGACAUGAAAUUUAUUUACAUUAGCCAUUAAUAAUCGACUCAUAUCACACCAUUAUCCCAGUAACACCGUCUUGCAGUCAUCAAAAGAGUUUCCGUCUGCCAAAAAAAGAUUACAACAUUAUAGGGCAUAUAACAUUUUUUUUAUGAAAAAGCGCCUUAGGUAUUUAAAUUGGCAAACACAACUUAAGUAGUUCAGAGCUUUAGCCCUGCUAUAAAUGCUUCUGAACCUGAAGUAAUUUUCACACUAUGGAGUUAGAAUCUGCGAAUGUAGAAUCACUGGAAUUAUUUAAUAUUGUUUUAGGAAUUCUGCUGUUUUUGUUCAUAGUUCUGAUUAAGGACCAUAGAUUAGAUGGGUUUGUAUUAAUGUGGCUUUGCGUUGACUGAAUAUAUUUUUGAAACAGAA